UACGAAGGGUGCUAGCGUUGUUCGGAAUCACUGGGCGUAAAGCGUGCGUAGGCGGCUUUGCAAGUCAGGGGUGAAAUCCCACAGCUCAACUGUGGAAUUGCCUUUGAAACUGCAUGGCUGGAGUAUUGGAGGGGUCAGGGGAAUUCCUAAUGUAGUGGUGAAAUACGUAGAUAUUAGGAGGAACACCGGUGGCGAAGGGGCCUGACUGGACAAUAACUGACGCUGAGGCACGAAAGCGUGGGGAUCAAACAGG
rnacentral:rRNA from 1 species